rfam:Callithrix jacchus chromosome 2, whole genome shotgun sequence
AUCCUUUUGUAGUUUGUAAACAGGAUGAUAGGGUUUUCACAUUUAUUAUGAGAUGUGCUUCCCUCCAACCUUGUUAUGAUGUUGAUGUAUUAUCCGUCUGAUG